rnacentral:rRNA from 1 species
UGGGGAAUAUUGCACAAUGGAGGGAACUCUGAUGCAGCGACGCCGCGUGAGUGAUGAAGGAAUUCGUUUCGUAAAACUCUGUUCUAUGGGAAGAAAAGGACUGUACCAUAGGAGAAAGCUCCGGCUAAAUACGUGCCAGCAGCCGCGGUAAUACGUAUGGAGCGAGCGUUGUCCGGAAUUAUUGGGCGUAAAGGGUGCGCAGGCGGCAUUACAAGUUGGAUGUGAAAUAUUGUGGCUCAACCACAAACGUGCAUCCAAAACUGAAAAGGUUGAGUUAAGGAGAAGAAAGGGGAAUUCAAGAUGUGGCGGUGGAAUGCAUAGGUAUCAGGAGGAAGACCGGAUGAGAAGGUGACUUACUGGACUGAAACUGACGCAAAGGUACGAAAACGUGAGGAGCAAGCACG